rnacentral:tRNA from 1 species
UGGCUCAGAUGUAAAGCAUCUGCCUGCAAUGCAGGAGACCUGGGUUCAAUCCCUG